rnacentral:rRNA from 1 species
UACAGAGGUCUCAAGCGUUGUUCGGAUUCAUUGGGCGUAAAGGGUGCGUAGGCGGCGCGGUAAGUCGGGUGUGAAAUCUCGGGGCUUAACUCCGAAACUGCAUUCGAUACUGCCGUGCUUGAGGACUGGAGAGGAGACUGGAAUUUACGGUGUAGCGGUGAAAUGCGUAGAUAUCGUAAGGAAGACCAGUGGCGAAGGCGGGGUCUCUGGACAGUUCCUGACGCUGAGGCACGAAGGCCAGGGGAGCAAACGG